AGCCGCGCGCGUAGUUGAAGAGCCUGCGGAGGAGACGACAACUUCCGGUAAAUAAGUGUACUUCCGGAUUAUUUCAAGCAUCGGCCAAAGCGAAACGGAACCCGAAGCUGUCCUUGCACAAAAUCCGUCAAAAUUUUUUAUUUAAAACCAGAAGAUGUGAUAAUGUUGACAUAGAUGUUUAGCUGGAUAACUAUUCUCGAGUAUAUGUUGAUAUAAUGCACAAUACUUCGUAUGCAUAGCAUGGGAAUACCGCGGCCAACUUUCACUUGUUAUCUAUUAUAAUUACUGACCCGAAUCAAAAGUAAUUAUUUUCGGC